CCAAACUAAAGCCACAAAAGAAGAAAUAUAAAAAGCUAAUAAUAAACUAUAGAAUAUAAAUAAAUUCUCUUCAACAACAAAGAACAAACUAAGAUCAUGGAACUUUCUCUUCUCAGCCAUAAGCACCAUCCUUUGCUCCUUCAUUGCCCUCUCACCUCCAAUCUCUUCACAAGGGCACACACAAAAAUUGACCAUAAAAGUACUUCAAAUAGGUUAUUACCAUCACCAUGCAGCUGUUCACAUUCUUUCUCCAAUAAAAUUGCAGCAAAACCAGUCACCAUGUCUUUACAAAUUGAAGGAAGAAGAGCAUUACUAAAUUUUCUCCUCACAACAUUUGGUGGAGUUUAUGCAUGUGAUGUGGCUGAAGCUGUUAGCACUAGUAGAAGAGCUCUUAGAGGAGCCAAAAUUCCUGAAAGUGAUUACAAAACUUUGCCAAAUGGUCUCAAGUACUAUGAUUUGAAGGUUGGGAAUGGAGCUGAAGCUGUGAAAGGAUCCCGAGUUGCAAUUCACUAUGUUGCUAAAUGGAAAAGUAUCACCUUUAUGACUAGUAGACAAGGAAUGGGCGUUGGAGGCGGAACGCCCUAUGGAUUUGAUGUAGGCCAAUCUGUGAGAGGAAAUGUCCUAAAAGGUUUGGAUUUAGGAGUCGAGGGCAUGCGAGUAGGAGGCCAGCGGCUGUUAAUUGUACCUCCUGAACUUGCCUAUGGAAGCAAAGGAGUCCAAGAAAUCCCUCCAAAUGCAACAAUAGAAUUUUGUUAUGACAUUAAAGUGGAUUUCAUUCAAUAAUACAUUUUCACCUUUGCAACUGUUGGACCGCAGUUGGAUGUUGAACUUCUUGCCAUCAAACAGAGCCCAUUUGGGACUGCUGUAAAGAUUGUUGAAGGCUAAUGCAAUGGUUUAAUAUUCAGAGUGCUAAGUUAACAUAUUAUGAGAAGAUAGUCUCCACCUAGUAGAGACUACAGAGGCCCUACCAGAUACCCUUUAGUUCACCCUUGAUGUGAAUGAAUCUGUAGUUUUACAUGUUUUUGGACUGGCAAAUAAGAAACAGAGAAAAAGUUGAAACAUUGGUAAAAAAAUUGAUCAUUUGUACUCAAUAUUUAAUACAUGACUUAUCUUUGUUAGAAAUGAAAAUGUUCAUGAGACUGGACCACAAAAAUAUAAUCUAUUAAAAGAAAGAAAAAAAAAGAUGGUUGUUUUCA